CGCUUGGAACAAAAAUUACAUGC
rnacentral:siRNA from 1 species